UCUCAGGAGUCAGGACCUGCGUGGCCAAUCAGCAGUUUCCAAGAAACAACCCUUUCUUCAGUUCUACAUGUAGGGACCAGCUGGUUAUUCGGCCAGCAGUGAACUAAAACCAUAGUUAUUAGCCAGUGUCUCUGGCUGAAACAGCACCGAAUAUUUGGAUUGCUGCCGCUCGUUCUUGCUACGAUUCUUGCGUGAGAAAUUUGAACAUCUGCGCUGACGAGCGCUCCCUUCAACCGAGUGUUUACCCCGAGAGGGUCUUGCUGUCCUGCUGAGAAUAUUCAAGUGCUCGCACCCUCAGUUCAAUAACUCGUCCGAUCGUCAGUGAUAGCUAUUAUAGUUCGCAGACUUCAGCUCUCCAUCACCAAUAUGCGUGUGUGUACGUGUGCGUGAGUCUUCAAAACAAAAACUGUGACUUGUAGCCAUCCAGGAGAAACUGGUGUUUGUACCAUAAGUGUUGGGCGCAUAUCGGGAAAGUGUCAUCCAUACUAUUCUCAGUCUUAAGUGACUAACAUCUGUUCCUAAAGAGGAUACUGCUAAAACAAUAUCCCAGGAGAACAAUUAUUGUGAUUGUUAUAGACCUUAAAGUGUACCGUGGCUAGACGAGUUAAUUGUGUAACAUUUUAAAACUUGGAGCUUCUUGUAGUAAUGUAGGCUACAGCCAUCUAGAGAGAAAUCGUCAGGGGAAGGUAGUAACUUUUUUAACCUGGGAAAGUUUCCUCAAUCUUUCUACCCAUAGACACCUCUGUUACACUCCUGUCCCUACUUGACCCAAGGUUACAAAUCUGACUCGUUCAUAACUCUACACAAUUAACUAUGUAAUUACUUAUAAUCAGAGUCCGACUCUAGACUUGUGUAAAAGAAGGAUCUCUUUAUUUAUUUCUAAAGGGAACUGCAGGCUGUAAUAUUAGAAGGCGCUUACUAAAAAUAUGUUAGAACCAGGAAAACAAGAAGUAAAGGCAGUGCAGGGAGGGGGAGGGAGUGACGAAGAUCUAAAUUGGCGUCAGAUCUUUGCGGAAGUCAGGCUUAGAGUUAAUGAGUACUGCCCACGUAAGGAUAACACUGUUGAUGAAAGAGCACCGGAAGUCAUAUGAACCAUUUUCCAAUAAGCCCAUAGACUUCUUCCCGUUUGCGUUCCCGAUAAGAGAUAAUGACUGGUGCUCUGUGAGGACGACGAGAGGAGAAGUCCUGCUAUUUUCGCUGACCGGUUUACUCAGCCCCAAUUGUCCUCUGAACGACCUAUUUUGUAUAUAACAGAGCUGAAGAAAAUGAACAUAUUUUGAAGGAAGACAGCAACACCUGGCCACUGAAUCUGGGAUUCUGGAAGCAAAGGAUCACAUAACCACCAAAAAGAAUCCAGCAAGCAGCAAUGAUGGAACCAAAACUGAGCAUCAGACCAAGGAAAAGCCAAAUUCUUGCUCCAAAUGGUCCAAUGCAGCCAUCUGUGUACAUAUCACCACGGAUUUGCC